rnacentral:lncRNA from 1 species
UCAACCUCUUCAUCAGCAAAAGCACUUUUACCAGGCAGUUUAAGAUCAGCAUCAUCCCAACUUUUGGCAUCCCAUUCUUCAUCAUCAUCUUCUUCUUCUACUUCAACCUCAUUCUCCUCCUCAACUUCAACUUCUUGGGGUUUCUCUACUUCCAAAACUUGCACUUCCUCAUACUUUUCUGUUUCCACAGAGUCGACCUCAGAUCCAAUUUCUGAUUCUUUUAUUUCUUGGCUUUCAGCAGCCUCUGCAACAGCCGCACCAUUUGCUUGAGAAGCUGGCUUUGACUUUUUUGUCUGGUACUUGGGCCGUUUCGUAGGCACCCCAACAGCAUCCCCUGUAGGUAAUGGCAAGCCCCCAGCAUUGGCUAGUAUCUGUUUCCUCAUCGCCUCCAAUCUACGAGCUUCUUCCUUCUGUUUACCAGUUAAUAGCUUCCCUUCUUGCUUUUUCUUCAUGAGUUUCUCUUUUUCCCUCUCCUUCUUCAAGCGUUCUUUUCUUCUGCUAGCCUCUCAAGUUCUUCCUGCCUACGACGCUCCUCUUCUUCUUUUCUUAACUUCUCCUCUUCUUCCCUUUUUUUCCUUUCUUCAGCUUCUUUAAGUCUUGCAAGUCUCUCUUGCAUCUCUCUCACAUGCUUUGGAACUUUCUUGUCCGAAGCUUUACCCUUGGUUUCAUUUUUACUAUCUUCUUGUUUGUCUUCUGUCACAGGUGCAGCUGCAGCUGCUUUUUUCUCGUUCUCCUUUUCCUUCUUCUUCUUCUUCUUCUUUGCUGCUGCAGACUCUGCAGGCCCUCCUUCUUCAGCUUCUUUUUCACCUGCACCAGCAUCAAAAGAGACAUUCUUGAAUAUUUCAUAUUAAGACUGAGACAGCAUACUCCCCCUACGUAUUUAAUACAGUGGAUCUAGUGCAAUUAUUAAUCCAUUUCUAGGAAUAAAACCAAUUAUUUCCUCAAAAAAGUUAACUUAUUUAGGCACAAUUAUUGUUUUCAUAUCCUCCAGUCAGUCACUUCCCUCAUUGUUAGCCGAAGAACCUUGUCCUGACACAUUUUUCCAACCACCAGGCCUCAGGAGAACUGAAAAAGUCUUGCCUUCAAAGAUCUCACAUCCUCUACUUCAGCACCCUCAUCACUCCCAUGCGAUACACACAGUGCACAUACAAAUCUCACAAAGUUUGCACCAGUACAUUUCUUUUCACAACUUACAACCUAGACCACCUCACGUAGUAAGCACCCUUCACGUUUUUAACCAAAACAAAUCCAUACGAACAGUCACCAUUUUCAAGAAACAGUAUUCUCAACUCUCAGUUUCACCCUCUAUGCAGAAAUAGUAGAAGCCAGCAGUUACAACCAGAACCAUGUAGAAUGCUACAGAUAUCAGGUAGAACGCAUGUAUAACGUUUGGAUAUCAAACCAACUUUAACCAAACCAGAAAAAAAAUUCUUAAGCAAUAACAUUAAAGAAAUAAACAAACACCACACCAACUUAUUACUUUACUUCCACUUCAGAUACUCCAAAUUUACCCCUAAUAUGUUAAACCCAAGAUAGUCUGACUGAAGCUAGACUCUCAGAUAUGUGCAUUUACAUUGUCAAUUACCAGUAUCUCUUUGCUGUUAAAAUUUUCAAGAAAUAUCAGAAUUUACUAGUAAUGAAGAGCUAAACAAAACCAUGUAAUCCUGUAACUUGGCAGUAUGAUCUUCAAGAAUCUUAAUCUACUAAAAAACUAUCCAUCUCGGAUUCUUACCCUAAUUUACGCUUCUGGUUAAUGAAUUUAAAAUUGAAAAUCCCAUCUUUACUAUACCUAACUUUAGCAUAAGACAUCAUUAAGAUCAUGAAUAAGCAAGAGAUACAUUAAUCAUUUAGCAAUAUGCAAAUAAAUUAAAUGAGUGAAUUUAAAAGAUCAGGAAUUUAAAAAGAAAGGCGAUUUCGUUUCGUAGGAAACAAAAAAUGGGAUGAUUUCAAAGGUGUGGUUUGCAGGAAAAAGCUGGAGAUCAGACUGAACUUUGAAUAAAAAAUUUUCUAUACAUUAAGAACAUGAACGAAAACUAAAAUAGAAUGCAGGCUAGCUCAGUGAUAGCAAAAGAUGAUUAUACAAGUCUCAACUCAAUUUUUGACAUACACAAUUUAGACAAUUGAGGCUUAAAAGCCUGUAGCUAUAUCAAACUGUAAGCUUAUAUUUAAUACCCACUGAGAAUAUUUAGAAUUAUCAUGACCUCAAAAUAAUUGCAUAGCUAUUUAGAUGACUUUCCUUCAAUGCAACUCAACUGGAACCUUAAGUCACAUAGUAUACAUGGAAAGAACUUAAAAAGAAAAGAUUAAAAGUUUGUGAUUAACAAAAUAUGUCAAACUUAAGAUUAUUACAAGGGAACCAUAAAAUUGAAAAAAUGUACACAUAGAUAACUAUUUUGUCUAUGAUAAAGAUAUUGAAACUGACACACACAUGCAAUCAAUCAAUUGAAUGAAUGUGGAGUUGAACAUUCUUUUCAUAUUACAAAUUGACAAGUUCACAAUCAGCAAAUACACAUAUCCUAGUUAGAGUGCAAAGUGAAAAAGUGAAAAGUUAGACAAGUAAGGGAGUAGGAAAAGAAGGGCAAUUACGGUGGCAAAAUGAAAGCUAAUUGCCCCUGAUAAAAUUCCAUAAGUUUUAAUCCUCUCUUUAUAUCUAUCCUUAUUUUGGUUUUCUUAAAGUACUCAGGAAGUUUAUUCAUACAUAAGAAAACAAUAAAAACUAUACUAUUUACAAGUAUGAUGAUAAGGUAACUGACCUGCACCAUCUUGCUCAAGCUGAGAUUGAACUUUCUCCUCAGCAGUUGGCUCCAGAAGACCAGGUGUAGGAGUGGGAGAAGGUUUUGAUACAGGAGGCGCUUCUCCAAGUUCAGCAAGAAUCUUGUCCAAAUCCUCCUCUUCUUGGGCAGUUCUUCCACUCUUCUUUUUCUUCUUCUUUUUUUUAAAGUCUCUGCAACAUCUUCAGCUAUCUGCUUUGAACUAGCACUAACGCUAGGCUGAUCAGCCUCAGCUACAACCAAGGACUCAUCCCCAGUUCCAGCAUCAAGUGCACUAAUUGCGCCACUACCCUUCUUUUUAGAUGACUUCUUCUUACCAGAAAACAUAGCAACUGAUGUGUCUAAUUCAUCCAGAGCACUUGUACCAUCUCCUGCUGCUUCAGCUCCUGACUUGGACAUAGAAAUUCUUCAAUGGUAUCUUCAUCAAGAACUGCAGCAUCAAAUGAAUUAGCACUGCUUUUUUUUGAAGACUUGGAAGACUUCUUUUCUUUCCUGUGAAGGUAAUAGAAGCAAUAUCCUCAUCUUCCUCUUUACUCUCUUCUUUGUUUUCCCCAUCCUCAAGCCCAUUAAAACUAGAUGUCGAAAACAAACUAUCACCACCCUUCUUACCUGUUUUCGAUGGCUUCUUCUUCCCAGAGAACUCAAUCAAAGGCUCCCCAUUAUCAGACUGUUGCCCAGAAACUAAAUCAUCAACACCUCCAUCAUCCUCAUCACCAAUUGCACCAAAAGGCGAUGUCGUAAAUGCACCACUGCCACCCUUCUUACCAGAUUUUGAUGGCUUUUCUUCCCAGAAAAUGCAAUCACUGUCUCAUCAUCCUUAUCAGACAGCUCUCCAGAAGCCGAACCUCCAACCGCUUCAUCAUCCUCAACUCCAAUAGCAUCAAAUGCUGCAGCACUGAACCCACUUUUACCACCACCCUUUUUUGACUUUGUUGGCUUUUUCUUACCAGUAAAGGCGAUCACAUUCUCCCCAUCAUCCUCACUACCCCGCUCUCACCAUCUCUACCCUGAGUUAAUUCCGAAACCUCAGUUUCACCAUCUUCAUCCCUAACAAUCCAAAGUUCCCAGAACUAAAGACACUGUUGCUCUUAUUGUUCCCACCCUUCUUCGCCUUCCCUUUCUUUUUGCCUGCAAACUGUAUAUCCAGUGCCUAUCAUGCUCUUUGUCAUCAAUUCUCUCCUCCAGCUGGUCAUCAUCAUCGUCAUCUUCUUUUAAUCCUCCUUUCUUUGCAUUCCCCUUCUUACCCUUCUUACCACCACCAACCGUAGCAGUCUUCUCUUCCUGAACAUUACUCUCCUCAGACAACUCUGUCCCAACUGAAUACUCAUCAUCAUCAAUCACUAAAUUCUUCUUCUUAGACUUGCCCCCACCAACGCCACCCUGCGUCGCCCCGGCCACCUCAUCAUCACGAGCACUCGGCUUCUUUCUACCCAUUGAGAGAUAUCGACGAAUACAAAUUCUCUACAAUAUUCUUAACUCUAAUCUAGAAACCUAACUUUAUCUUCAAAAACCCGGAGUCAGAAACCCUAAAAAGCACAAGAUUCAAUCAAAUUAGUCCAUGUUUACGAAAUUUAACAUAAAUACACAAGCUUAACUGAUAAAUUAUAAAUUUUCUACAUAAAAUGUUUCAAAUAACCAACAGUAGAUUAUCAUCAACGAUUUUCUGGCAGAAUCAUAUCAAAAUUAACCUAUAAGAAGUACCUGAACAAUCUAAUACUGAUUCAUAUCAAUCAGAAAUAUUCAGACUGAAAAAUACCUGGAAAAGUUGGCUCCGAUCAGAAUAUUAUCCGAAAGUAAAUACAGAGGCCGAUAAAAGUUAACGGGGGUUCUGUAUCUAAUAUGAUGAAAAGCAAAAUUUAGGGAAGAAGUUUUGGUUGAAAGAUUGAUUUUAGCUGAUGGAGAAAGUAGAAAAUACUAGUACUAUAUAGGCUGCUGGGGAAGAAGCAAGAAGGGAAAUGAGAGAGGCAAAACGAAUUCGUAAAGGGUGUUUUUGGGCCGUGAUGGUUAGGUCCAUUGGAGGAUUGAUGAGAGUCUACUCGGCUCUUAGGGUUGGGUUUUUGUGGAACCCAAAUGAGGAUUUCUCUCUCUCUCUCUCUCUCUCUCUCUCUCGCUCUCUCUUCUCUUUUUUUUCAUUUUGUUUUGUUAUUGUUUUUGGUACAAAACUAUAAUAACGUGAAAGUUGCUUUUUUAUUACCUAUAUAGUAAAAGAGCGAAUGGAAUUGCUAAGGGUUGUGAUUGUUGUGCUGACGUGGCUGGAUUUUAUUCGCUGGCUGGUGGUCGUCACUCACGUGGGAGUCGCGUGCUUUUGCUGGGAGGAGAAGUGCAAUCCUUCUUCUUUGCUGCCUGAGAGAAGAAAACUUGGACAUUUGGUUUUUGAGAAGGAACGUAUCUCUGUAUUGCCAGCUGAGUAAGCUUAUUAUGACGGUUGCUGAUAGUUUGAUUGAUGACAACUGUUGGGUGAUGGCUCAAUGUGGGUUGGUAUGAUUUGACGAUAUUGCCCUUAUUUUAAAAAAGACAGAUGCAUCGUUCUAUCUUGCUGAGCUCCUUCCUCUCUGCGAUUUGGUGUGAAGGAGCUUCAGCUCUGCUCUAGAGAGCUGCCGAAAAAACACUUUUUGUUCUCUCCUUUGAUUGACAAGACUGAAACCCCUUUGUUUCUCCGAUGUAUGCAGUUCAGCUCUGCUUUAGAGAGCUGCCGAAAAAACACUUUUUGCUCUCUCCUUUGAUUGACAAGACUGAAAGCCCUUUGUUUCUCCGAUGUAUCCAGAGGUUUCUAUGUUUCAGGUUUCGCUUCUCCCAGCUUUCGUCAUCAUGCUCCGCGGUAAUUGUGCCUCAUUUUCAUUGUUCUUUUCUGGCCCUCCAGCUGCUUGCUUCCUCAUUCUGAGCUGCUGCCUCGUUUCUUUUUUUCUGCUUUUUCUUUCCUUUGUAACAAUUGCUAUCUUGCUGCCUCCUUGCGUAAGCUUUAAUUCCGCUACUAUUGUUUGGAUUUAACUUCUCCUGCUGUGUUCCCGUUUCCUGUCGUGCUUAUUUUGGUUUUUCCUCACCUGCAAUUUAUGCCAUCCUGAACUGUUACUGUUGCGUUGCCUCUUUGCUUUGCUUUGGCGCUCGUUUUGCUUCUCAAGCGCCCUGCUUAAAUUUACCUUUCUGCCGCAGCCUUUCCCCCUGUGUUUUCCAUUAUCCUCCUGCCAGUGGUUCUUGCAUCAGCCUUUUUUUUUUUUAAACUUUUUGUUCUGCUACUGUUACUACGUGCAGGUUAUCUUGCCCCCCUUCUGUUUUGUGAUUUCCCCCUUUUCCCCUAGCAUUUCUUAUAUUUUUCCCCACUAUACUCUCUGGUGCUUGUUGUCCUGCAUUUACUCUUUGAGUUUUCCAUUCUUCCUCCUGUCGUCAUUUCUUGCGUCGCUGUAUUUUUUCCCCUUUUGUUUUGCUGCUGUUGCUACGUACAAGUUAUCUUGCCCCCCUUCUAUUUAGUGAUUUUCCCCUUUUCCCUUGAAUUUCUAAUAUUUUUACCCACUUUGUUCUCUAAUGCUUGUGUUGCAUUUACUUUUGAUAUUAUAUUUUCUUACCCUUUUUGCUCUCACUGGCUUAUUCAGGUGUUGUCCUCUUCUGUGUUGCUCUGCCGUUGGGUAAUAAAGGCUUGUUAUCUAACGUUAAGGUGCCAUUACUUAUUCUCCCUUCUGUAUGUGCUUUUACCUUGCUUGUACCCAAUGAUCAUUUUGCUACAUGCUUUUGUUACUCGUUUUUAGCUGUUGCCCGCCUUUACUCAGCCUUUUAACUCCUGUUUUCUUAUCUGUUCUGUUCUAUGCUGUUGUGUAAGCAGUUGUGCUUUACCUUUUCUUCACUCUGUUUCUUUUCUAAUAUAUUGGCUGAAUUCUAUGGUGUUGUGUAAGGGCUGUACUUUAGCUUUUCUUUACUCUGUUUGUUUUGAAUGUCUGCUCAGUUCCAUGCUGUUGUGUAAAGGCUGCGCUUGAGCUUUUCUUUCUCUAUUUUUGUUUGGGGGAACCGGCGUUUGGUGCAUGCCUCUCUUAUGCCGUUUCUUUGUGUUUCAAUCUGCUAGACCUUUGGCCUCCUUUGUGCUUAUUGAGUUAGUACUCUGGCCGUGUAUUAGAGGUGUACGUUAGCCUUUCUUUUCACCUGCUAGAAUCUAUAGCGGUCAGAUGGAUAGGAAUGCUUUGCGCCGCAAAAAAUAUACAGAAAUGCCACCUCUGAAGAAAGCGGAACUUCUGCGUUCCCGAAGGCAAACUCGAGCUUCAAAGAAAGCUGGAAAAGCUUUACCCCACGUGUUCGCAGGGUCCCGUUAGGAUAUGUGGAAACUAGUGUGUCGUUCCCAGCUACUCAACAUAUGCCAUGUCAUAGUGAGGAUCCUGCGUUUGUGCAUUCUCAGCCGUUGGAAAACACAAAUGCUGUGUUUCCAGCUGAUGAUGCCUUUGCGAUUAGGGAAGGAUUAGAAUUCAUGUCGCGUUGUCCACCUGGUUCCUUUACUGGUUAUGCUUCCUCCUCCUUUGGAAAAGAAAUGCCUCUACAAAAUACACUUGAUCCUGAAGCUAUACCAGCUUCGUUUAACGUGCAAUCCCUUCAGCCAUUUAACUCCUACUCUGUAGCGCCGUUUAGCACUAUUUGUCUUUCUUAGCUGUCGUUAUUUCCCUUGUAUCUCUCCAGUUACCACUCUCUUUCUUCUUAACUGCAGCAUCCCUGUUCUGUGAUAGCCUUGCACCAGUGAAAUAUCAGAGAUCAUCUGUUGGUGUAGAGGCAAAAAAAAAACCCCGUUCAUAGGGGAAAACAUAGGGGCGUAAACUCCCUUCCAAGUGGAAAUGAACAACCUGUGAACAAUACACAUUCUGAAUUUAUACUAUAUUCAUUUCCUUUCGAUUCAUCUCUUAAGAACCCUGAACUAUCAAUUCAAAAAGAAUUUGCUCCUGCAAGUAAUUCUUUGCCUGCUCAAAUUUCAGAUUCUACUUUAGAACUAGCUUCCAAAGGUACUGCCUUACUUUACCAUAUUCGUUAGCUUGCGAAUCUACUUAACCGCUUUGACCAGCCUAUAAAUAUAAAUAAUCACCUUUAUGGCCUGGUUUUCUGGAACCCUUCUUCCUUUGCUAACUGAUUCUCCUUUAAGGUCCUUAGGCCUGUUUUAGCUAGCUUAUUCUGUUCUGCAAUUUGCAGACAUCUUUCCUGCUCCCACAGAGGAGGUGGCCAGGUCUGGUCCAACACCUGGUUGGUUGGAGAUAAAAAACAGAAAAGUACUUCCUUCUGCCGGUCCAUCUAUUGUCCGUUCUCGCUCCAGAAAACGCAGGACCCUGAAUCUGUGAACAAACACAACUCAGGUUGGGACUUGCGGUGAAGAAUUUCCAGUGUAUCAAGUGGAACUGAAUGCAGGAUUCCAUGGGAUCAGAUUUUCAUGGAAAGGAGCAAAAAACUGUCUUUUGAUUUGAUGGCCAGAUAAUUGAUCCAGAAUAAGAUAAACAACAAAAAGCAAUAAGUCUUUGAAGGAUUUAGAUAUUUUUUAUAUGUAUCUCUACCCUGCAAAUUCAAGACUUGAAGCACAACAGUAUAAAAAUCAUUUGAACCAGACCAAUUCCUGUAACCACCAUGCCAACUUGAGCAAAUAAGUCUUAGAAAAAAGUUCUCAUUGGUUCUGUUCUAAUAAGAUGCAUUACCAAGUUUAUUUCACAUAAUAUCAAAAGGCUUUGCCAAGUGCAAGAAUCCUUUACAAACCAUUAACUUCUCAGUCACUGUCAGCCUUUUUAAAUCUAAACCAGUGCCAGAAUCUAGAAAAUCUAAAAAAUCAAUCAUCAACACCUUUUAAAGAUAGUCAAAGCGGUGAUAUUUAUAAUGUUUGACCAUGCAAGUUAGUAAUAAAGGAAGAGCACUUGGUUUCUGCUUUUGCCUUGCAUGGCUAGAUUUAGCUAACUGCAGGCAGUUACCAUCUUAAUCACCCUCUUCAACUUUCCUUCACAAACCUUCUACUGGAUUUUACUCUUUCCCCUUAAAAUUCUCUGACUAAAAAUUACAAAAAUCCAUUUACAUGAAGACAGGAGCUUUUUCAAUUUCAGUAUGCAGCAAACAAGUGCUUCCAUCUCAUGCUAUAGUGUGUCCCAAAAAAAGUCCUUAUCCAAAUGACCAUUACAAUUUAUGACCACCAUAUUAGUUUGCAGUUUGAUGGCCGUUGAUAGCAUAUAUGUACAAACUACUCAACUACUAAGUUAAUAUUACAAUCCAAAUUCAUCAAGGAAGCACAUGUUCAUCAGAAAACCAAUCUCAAAAUUAGAUAUUGGAAACCUAAAUCCAGGAUAUGUACCUUGAUGGCCACCUUUUGGCCUUUCUUGGCAUAGUCAACAGGUUUAUGGUUGUUCUCAAUGGACGCAAUUCGUCCAAUGUCGAUGAAGUCCUUCUGAGGAAUGCAAAUUGGGGUUCCGAUCUGCAUGCAUUGGAAACUGCCAUCAGAAACCCUCAAAAAGAGAAAAGAUAUAAGCAAGCAAGAAAUCAGAACACAGAAAUAUAAGAUAAUAAUGUCACGUCAAGAAUCAAUAUGCUAAUAAACGCUACAAGAUAACAUGCAUCUUGCAGGAGUGAGCUGAAAAUAGCAAAAUGAGGACAAUAAUGACAAAACCAAACUAUAAAAGCAAAUAACUCUUCAGGAAUAGGAAAAGAUGGUGAAGUCAUGUAUUAUGACAUUUUAACUUAUAAAAGGUACAGAGUGAAUGGUUGAAAGUGGUGCAAAAUCUGACUCUUAAGCAAUAUUCAAGAUGGAAAAGUAACAUAAAUUGACUAACAAAACUUUUAAGAUAUCAUCACAACAAGAAAGAAUCCUAACCAUUUCUUAGAAUCCAAAAUUUCUAGUUUCCUACUCCCUAAAAUCAGCAUCAUGAAAUUGACAACUAGAACAACAAUAAUAAAUCAAUCAACAUGUAACUAAUUUAAGCAAAUCUUUACUAUACUAUGCAAACCAAAAUUAACAAGAAUAAUCAACAAAAUGUCAAUUGAAUAAUUUCACAUCUCCGUUAUUAUUUGGAAUACCAUGUCCCACACUAGCUGUUGAAAAUUAUCUUAAGAAUCACAAAAUUAAUACAAUACCUUUGCAACACCUUCGAGAACAUCCACUCCCAAUACAAUGGGAUCUUUCUUGUUGAAAACACAGUUUGGUAUGAUCUUAAGAACACAGGGGAAUACAGCAUCAUCAGCAGCUUCCUUCUUCUUCUCCUCCUUGAGGUUGUCAAUAUAAGCCUUAAACUGAUCAAAUAGGUGAUAGAUGAUAUCUGCACAGAAUAUCUUGACACCAAGCUCAUCUGCAAGUUCUCGAGCCUCUGGAGUCACCCUAACAUCAAAGGCCAAGAUAGUGGCAUACUCUUUCUUCUUCUCGAGCAUCACGCUUGCCUUCAUGACAUCUUUCUUAUGCACAGGACCAAUGCCUAUACCACUCACAGGUAUAUUGACCACCGGAGUCUUCAAAAACUCCAGUAGUGCUUCUAAUGAACCAAGGGUAGAGGCCUGUACAUAAACUCCCUCACCACUUUUAUCAAUUCUGUUCAUCACUGUCCUCAUAUCCUCCAUAGCUGCUUCCUUAAUAUCUUCUAAAUCAUCAUCAGGACCAACAACAUAUAGCCCAGUGCCAGCAAUAGCAUGCUCAAGACCCUGAAAAGAAAAGAUCAGAAACUAAAACUACCUCUGAAUGGGAAACAAAAAUAUUAUACAACAGGACAGAGAUCUCUUAUGGCAGGGAGCUAACUGUGAAAGGUGAAUCAAGCUUUGUGACACCAGAGGCUACUAGAGAGUGGCCUCCUGAGCUAGUGCCAUUUACCACAAAAAAUUUAGACUUCUUCAAGACAAGUUCGUAGUACACCAGUGCUACUUACCAAGCAACAGAUGAAUUUACAGAGUUGGCUCAUGACAGCCAUGUCAUCAUUUCCAAAGCUAAAAACUAUAGAACCAGGAUUGCAGAAGUCCAACUAAAAUUGAUAUAUGUAGAAUACAUAUGGUGUCCACUGUAGUGGCAAAUUUGUGAACAUGUUGCUCCUUAGCGAUAAAGAAUACAGGUUAACGUCUUACACCAAAUAAAUAAAAAACGCACCUGUGCAGUGAUCUUUAUCCCCUGGGCAGCCUUGAUUUUUUUAUGAUGCACAUAAGUUCCCUGAAUCAGGCAAUCACCAAAUUGUCAGUUUAAGAAUUCAACUGUACAAGCAUAAAAAACCUAAUAUGGGAGAAAAAUGUCUUCAAAAGUGACUAGCUUUCCACUGAAGUAUGCAUGACAAAGAAAAGAGCAAAGAAACAUUAACCCCAAAGUGCCAAAGACAGCUACAGAUUGUCAAGCUCCAAAACCUAAAAAUGCUCACAAAAUUUAUGUGCUUAUUUUGUACUGAUGCAACAGUACAAGUAAAAGCGAAACUUCUUUCACAAAGAAAAAGGUGAGUACAUCAUUUAAGUAAUAAUUGGAUGGAGGAUUUGCUCCAACUAAGAGAUGAUUGCAAAGAAGCACAGAUUAAACGUUUUAACGGACUAGCAGUUCGAAAAAAGUUGGUUUAUCGGCUUUAAGCCAUUAGUUUAAUGGUCUCCAGCAGAUGACUAAAUGACAUACUCAAUCCUUCACUACGUCACAAAAGUAAUGAUAGCUAAUAAAGAAAAACACACUAAAAAAGGAAAUCAUAGUCCCCAAGUUCUGACUGCAUGAGAGAUGGGCAUGAUUGCAGCAGCUAUUCUGCAACUACAAAAGGUACGGUCCCUUGGAAAAGCAAACACAAACAUUUUGUCAUUGAAGAGAUUGAACAAUGUUAUGACCUUAGAUGGCUAAUCCCAUGAAAAUGUAGGAAAAAUUCCCACAGCUUCUUACUUCUCUUCCUCUUGCUCUCUUACACCAACCUCAACUCCUACUACACUCUAAAUCCUCAGAUUAUCAGAGCCAAAAUUUAUAUACUACUAAUUUUCUAAAGAUUCUUCCAACAGGUUCUAAAUCAAAUCAUAUCCACUAUCACUUCCAGGUGCUGCAUCAACCACUACUUAAUUCCAUAACGACUUUACUAAGUUAGCUGCUAAGUCCGCAAAAAGAGCGUUCUUAUUUAUCUUAAGCUACAAAUCCUUUUCCUCAAGCUCAAACACGGAACCAACAAAUAUCGAUCAUUUUGUUAGAGCCAUCACUAAAUCCCCGGAAGGAAAUAUCUUCUUCUUGGCCAAAUAUUCUUCUAUACCUAAACCACAUGACUGAAAACCACAUCAUUUUUCAAGAAAAUCCAAACAGAAAGAUUAAUCUGCAUCGAUAUGAAGAAAUAAAACAAGAGUGCAGAACAAAUUCUAAAAGAAAAUUCAAGCAAUAUGCUAGAUGGUGCCAGGUAAAUGUCAAUGAAAAAUAUAAAAUAGAAGUCCUGUUUAGUAACUCUUCAGAGAUAUUCGAACAUGAUAACACAACCUAUUUUCAUCAUUCACGUGAAAAAUACUUAUUUGACACAAGAAAAAUUCCUGAUCCUAUCUCAUCCUGAUUUUGGGAAGUCCCAACAAGCUUAAAAUAUAUGAAUUGCUCCCUCUUGGGGACAGGAAAAGCAAAAUGUGGAAUCAUAUUAGGUACAAGAAGAUUAUGAUAAAUAAGCCCAGAAAUACUUCUAUGGGAACUCAGUAGUUAAGUCAUUUGACUUCAGGAACAGCCUCCAAAUCUACAUAUUCCAUAACACGUAAGCUAUACUAGUAAAUAUUUGUAAAAUCACUAUUCGUGUUCCCAAUUUUUUAUGGUCCAGACAACAAGCAUUCUACCAACUUCAGCACUUUUUGGUCUUCUGUUCACGUUUUUGCUCCACCCAUCCACAAACUAUGAACUUUUCCUAGGAUAAAUCCAACAUAUCUCCCAACACCACCCAUCGCCUCAUGUUAUUAAGUCAUCUGACUUCAGAACAGCCUCCAAAGUUACAUAUUUUGUGACCCACACGGAAUACUAGUAACAUAUUUGUAAGAUUACUCUUCAUGUUCCAAAACUUUUUAUGAUUCAAACGACAAGCAUAGUGCCUUUAGAUCUUUGGUCCACGUUUAUGCAACCCAUCCGCAAACUAUGAACUUUUCCUAGAACAAAUAGACAUAUCUCCCAACGAAUAGUGAAAUGGGCCAGAGUCCAAAAACAGAAAAAGAUCCUCACAAAAAAAAGGGGUUUUUUUUUUACCUUCACUCGGAGUUCUUUCAUUGGAUGGGGCGUCAAUAGUGCUCGAAUACUGGUGACAAUUGGACCCUAAAAAUGACAACAAGUGUAAGAGCAUUACAGUUAUUUAAGAUCCAAAAGUACCAGGUACCAAUUGAAAGAUUACCUGCAUGCCACAAACAACUAUUUGAUCUCCUUCAUGGAGUACACCAUUAACUAAGACCACAUCAAUUGUUGUCCCAUGUCCUUCAACAACCUUAACCUCCAAAACGGUACACUGCCAACAUGAAAGUCGUAAUUCAGUCAAAAGCAUAUGCUGUUUACAAAUCACAUAAACCAUAUCUUUUCUGCUUUGAACACCAACAAUUAAUUUUUAUUUCACAAGAUCAAAACUUUGAAAGUUUUUACACGGAGGACAUCCCUGAAUACAGCAGGUGUACUAUAGCAACUUCUGAAGGGAUACUAAAGAAAGAAAAUACUAACAAAACGAUACCUGCACUUCAUCCUGAUAAGUUAAUUUCUCAACCAUUGUCUUUUGAGUCCAUUGAACAAGUAAUAAAAGCAAGUCUGGGAUCCCUUCACCACUGUAACAUCAAUAUAACCCAAACCGCACUUAAAGAUUGUACGUGAAAUACACAAAAAAUUCAUAAAUUAAAACAACUUGAACACCAGGGCUGCAACAUCAGUGAAUAACAAACAAAACCUGAUCGCACUAGUAGGCACAAUGCUGAAAGUCUCCCCCAUUUCUUUGUUCUUAUAGUACAAUUCAGUGUUUAUUCCUUGCUCCUUGAACUGGGUAAUAACCUGUAGUGCGUGAAGUAGAAAAUCAUGAAUUAUUAAAGCAAGAAACUCAACAUGUUGAAAAGGAAAUCGAUAUAUUCUAAAACCUGAGUGAGCCUCAUGUUGAAUUCAACUUGAAUAUCUUUUGACUGUUGCUUCAUGGCCUUCAUGAUAGGUGCAUUUCUGCAUGUUUUCCAUCCAUAGAGUCUGUCAACCUUAUUCAGGGCAACAAUAAAUUCUGUAUUCCUCAUCUUCAAAAGAUUGAGUGAUUCGAUAGUUUGUGGCUCCAACCCAUGCAUAAUAUCCACAACGAGAAUAGCAAUAUCACAUAAACCUGAGCCUCGAGAACGCAAGUUGGUGAACGAUUCAUGUCCUGGAGUGUCAAUAACCAAUAAACCUGGGACACUCAGCUUUGCAUCAGCUUUUAGUUCCUUGGUUCUCUCACGUAUAUUCCCUGCUGGGAAAUAUGUUGCACCUAUUUGUUGAGUAAUACCUCCAGCUUCACCUUCCUGAACAUUGGUACCCCGAAUGCAGUCAAGUAACUUAGUUUUGCCAGUAUCAACAUGGCCCAUAAUGCAGCAAAUAGGCGAGCGGAGAUUAUUUUCACCCCGAGUGGGGGGAGCAACUGGUUCUGCAGCAUCCGUUUUAGUAGGAGCUUCUCGUUGCUUCUGUUUUUCGACAACCCCAACCUCAGGAUUCACAGAUUUUAGUGGUGCAGUUGCAGUCUUUGACGCCAAAGGGCGAGACCCUGCAUCAUUUGUAGCAGGCCUUGUGCUCUUUAACUCCUUUUUACCCACAUUUUCAGGCUCGGAAUCAACCUCUUCAUCAGCAAAAGCACUUUUACCAGGCAGUUUAAGAUCAGCAUCAUCCCAACUUUUGGCAUCCCAUUCUUCAUCAUCAUCUUCUUCUUCUACUUCAACCUCAUUCUCCUCCUCAACUUCAACUUCUUGGGGUUUCUCUACUUCCAAAACUUGCACUUCCUCAAACUUUUCUGUUUCCACAGAGUCGACCUCAGAUCCAAUUUCUGAUUCUUUUAUUUCUUGGCUUUCAGCAGCCUCUGCAACAGCCGCACCAUUUGCUUGAGAAGCUGGCUUUGACUUUUUUGUCUGGUACUUGGGCCGUUUCGUAGGCACCCCAACAGCAUCCCCUGUAGGUAAUGGCAAGCCCCCAGCAUUGGCUAGUAUCUGUUUCCUCAUCGCCUCCAAUCUACGAGCUUCUUCCUUCUGUUUACCAGUUAAUAGCUUCCCUUCUUGCUUUUUCUUCAUGAGUUUCUCUUUUUCCCUCUCCUUCUUCAAGCGUUUCUU